rnacentral:tRNA from 1 species
GGGCGAGUAGCUCAGCUGGUCUAGAGCGCCUGCCUUACAAGCAGGAUGUCGGGGGUUCAAAUCCCUCUUCGCCCAC